GUCGGGUGACAGGCUGUAAGUGCGAGUCAGCAUCUGCUGGGUGGAUGACACCCCUCCCUUCUGACCCCAGAGCAGGGACGCGCUCACCCAACUGCGGAGAGAACAUUCUCCCUGGAGAUGGACAGCCUGCCCAGGGUACCUGAAGCCUGAACCACUGGAGAGACCAUGGUCUUCUUACCAGCCUUUCACCUCUGAUAAAAGUUUCAAACAAAGCUGGGAGUUUGUUGACUUGUGAAGGCCAGGUGAUCUGUGGACGAUCUCAGGUCAACAGAGCUGAAGAAUGGCAGCAGUUCAGUAAAGGGACAAAGGCCACCAAAGGGAGAGGGGUCGGCAGACUUCUAUAAAGGGCCAGCGGGGAAAUAUUUUCAGCUUUUCAAGCUAAACAGUCUGUUGCCACGUCUCAAAUCUGCAGUUGCAGCGCAAAAGCAACCAUAGAUAAUAUG
rnacentral:lncRNA from 1 species